GCGGGUGUAACUCAGUCUGCGCAGAGUACCAGGCCACUGGUCUGGAAGUCGCUGGUUCGAAUCCAGCCACCUGCU
rnacentral:tRNA from 1 species